rnacentral:lncRNA from 1 species
GGAGAUCAAAGGUCAGAGACACUGACUGCUAAUGGAAGAACUGCUACUUGAAAAGCACUAUCCGUCCAUUUUCUCAUCAGAUCCUCAACAACUCUACAAGGUAAAGCUGUC